rnacentral:rRNA from 1 species
ACUCAAAGGAAUUGACGGGGGCCCGCACAAGCGGAGGAACAUGUGGUUUAAUUCGAUGAUACGCGAGGAACCUUACCCGGGCUUAAAUUGCAACAGAAUAUAUUGGAAACAGUAUAGCCGUAAGGCUGUUGUGAAGGUGCUGCAUGGUUGUCGUCAGCUCGUGUCGUGAGAUGUUGGGUUAAGUCCCGCAACGAGCGCAACCCUCGCCCCGUGUUGCCAGCGGAUUAUGCCGGGAACUCACGGGGGACCGCCGGGGUUAACUCGGAGGAAGGUGGGGAUGACGUCAGAUCAUCAUGCCCCUUACGUCCAGGGCUUCACGCAUGCUACAAUGGCCGGUACAACGGGAUGCGACGCGGCGACGCGGAGCGGAUCCCUGAAAACCGGUCUCAGUUCGGAUCGCAGUCUGCAACUCGACUGCGUGAAGGCGGAGUCGCUAGUAAUCGCGAAUCAGCAACGUCGCGGUGAAUGCGUUCCCGGGCCUUGUACACACCGCCCGUCAAGUCAUGAAAGUGGGCAGCACCCGAAGCCGGUGGCCUAACCCCUUGUGGGAUGGAGCCGUCUAAGGUGAGGCUCGUGAUUGGGACUAAGUCGUAACAAGGUAGCCGUACCGGAAGGUGCGGCUGGAUCACCUCCUUUCUACGGAG